UCUUCGUUUCUGUUUGUUCGGUGACGAUCGAGUUUCCUUGAUGUCUCGAAACGGAUUGCGUUAUGGAUUCUAUGUGUUUAAUCCCAUUAAAAACGUUGACGAUCGAGCUUCCUCAUGGUUUAUGAAACGGAUUGCGUCGGUAAGGCGGUGAGCUUUUGGGUAUAAAUAUGUCAGCAUUUCUCUUCUGGAAAUCGUGUUCUCUUCAUUCAUCUUCUAUUCAUAAGGCGUGGGAGGGUUUCACGAAGGCCUCAGACGCUGAGCAGCAGAUUUGGGCUGCGGUUGAUCCUUACGCCAAGAACGAAUGUUGUUUCAGAAUGAAUGUUGUAUGGCUAAAUGCGACAUGGAGGGAUAACAUGAAAUUAUAAACCUUUUGAUUCUUGAUUUUCUCAAUACAUGCUAGAUUGAAGCAUGUUUGUCUGAAUAUUUUUGUUCUAACUUUCCCAAAGAGUUUCUGAUUCAGAAAAUGGAGACUUUAAAGAGUACAAGGAGCAUGCUGAUAAUUUCAUGAAGAUUACCAACCUUCUCCAAGACGAGAUUUAAACACCUUCUAGCUUCUUUAUAAGCCUCUAUCUCCUCUCGGUGGACAUCCAUGACCAAAUCUGCAGAUGCUACUCAAACGCUGAACUUACAUUGAACUCACGCUGAAAUCACUGCACAGCGUACAUAUACAUGUGUGUCGCAGAUAUACAGACUCUCCAAUGAGACUAGAGCUUAACAUUUCUAUAUCAGGAUCUUGGCUGAAGUUUUUUCGUUAAUUGUGGCUAAAUGCUUAGAUGAACUUUCUAAUUAUUAUCAUUUUUUGUCCGAAACUUAUGGGUUCUAAAUCACGGUUACAUUUCAGGCUUAGAAGAUUGGGUACAUAUAAGUCCGAGAAGCUAAGAACUAUGGCCCUACUUAACAUGUGAUCUACUUUUAUGCAACAAAACAAGUUGAACAGCAGAGUAGUCUCUGGAAUAACUUUUAUAUUAUGUGGUUUUUUUUAUUAACGUAUUAUGUGGUUUUAUGUUUUAAUAUUUCCGGUCCAAGAUGAAGGUUCAGUAAACUGCUAAUUUAAUUAAUACUCUCUGUAGAAUUCAUUUGGUUGAUUUCCUUUGCUUCCAAAAUCAAGACGCAGCCACUGAAGAGCAAGCAGCUUUUAGGUGGCUAUAAAUUUCACCAAUUGACUUACAAUUACCUUUCGCCUGGCAAAGCAAGAAAAUCGGAGCAGAGGAUAGCAUUUUUUUUUUUCUGGUUCAUUAUAGAAUUGUGCAAAACAACUGCUUCGUUGGUUAAAGAAAAACAAAAGACUUAUACAAAUCUUGAUGGAUAAUCAAUAAGUUGUCUCGCAUGGUUAUUACAAUUUAUCAAUAAAUCAGAGACAUUAGGAUUGAUA